GUGAGUUUUCCUCGCCACGAAACGGAGCCCGGACUAAGUUUUCGGUGUCAGAAAAUUCAGAAAUUUAAUCUGGAAAAAUCUCCGCUUGGCGCAGCCAUCACGCAGCCAUCGCGCAGCAGUGCAACCGCCCAGACCCCAAGGCGGGUAGAAAGAGAGAAAAGAUUCGAGUCGAAGAGAAGCAGCCGCAGCGGGACCGCAGCCGCCGAGAAAUCGAGACCCUGGGUUGUGUAUAUAAAUGAAUUGCCAGAAAUAUGUAAGUUAACACAAGCCAACGUACUAGAACAGUUGGCUCAGUGUGCGAAAUAUGAUAUAAAAACGUCAAAAGUGCUGACCCGGCAUUGGGCCGGAAACUUGUGCGCGGACGGCAAUCACAGCAUAUUUGUGUGGCCGCUGCGAUUCUUUUGUUAGCUUUAAGAAUCAUUUUAUAUUUCAGUUCGUUUUGAAGCCCCAUUGAAUAAAGAGCACAAGCUCGUAUGAGAACAA